GGUGGGAGGUCGGAUCCUGGGCUGUGUCCUGACGCCCUGUGCUCCUGGGACUGUGUUGUUGGAUUCGUGCUCCCGGCUGCGCAGCCUCCU
rnacentral:pre_miRNA from 1 species